GAUGAACGCUGACAGAAUGCUUAACACAUGCAAGUCGAUGGGGAAGUGGUGCUUGCACCAUGGUAACCAUGGCGGACGGGUGAGUAACGCGUAAGGAACUUACCUGCGGGACCGGGAUAACAGCAGGAAACUGCUGACAAGACCGGAUAAGGUCAUUAAGCUGCAUAGCUUAGUGAUGAAAGGAGACGCCUGCGGAGAGCCUUGCGUCCUAUUAGCUGGUUGGAGGGGUAACGGCCCACCAAGGCGAAGAUAGGUAGCCGGCCUGAGAGGGUGGACGGCCAAAAGGGGACUGAGAUACGGCCCUUACUCCUACGGGAGGGAGCAGUGGGGAAUAUUGGAAAAGGGGGGCAACCCUGAUCCAGCAAUUCUGUGUGCACGAAGACGGUUUUCGGAUUGUAAAGUGCUUUCAGCAGGGAAGAAGGAAGGGACGGUACCUGCAGAAGAAGCGACGGCUAAAUACG
rnacentral:rRNA from 1 species